GUGUUGUGCACGUGCGCGCGCAACGAUUUCACAGUAACGUACGCAGGGAGGGCUGGCACACACACACACACACACACACACACACACACGCACGCACAUCUCAGCGGUCGUUCUUGGCUGCGCUCUUCGUACUCGAUCUCUGAUUCACGACACCUCAGAAGACGUACAUGGAAGAUACGGCGGCAAUGACUCCGCUUCCCCAGCAACCACCGACGCCCCCAACGGCGUCUCCAUACAUCACCCCCGAGUCCAAAGAAAAGGGUGAUGCCGGUAUCUACGCGGCACUCGACGCCAUGCAGUUGUCGCGUGCCCUACACGGCGUCACAAGUAGUCGGUUGGACCAACAGCAGCUGCAGCAGGCAGCAGCGGCGCGCGGGGCGUCACCUACUCCUGGUGGCGACGGUGGUGCCACACAGAGCAACGCAGUACGGCUCGGGAUGGAGCCGGUAAGCUACCGGCAAGGAACAUUAGCGGAUGUGCAGGCCGUGUACAAUGCGGCGGUUGUGGAGGCUGUACAGGCGGCCAGCGGCGACGCAGCCGCUGAGGCGGUGGAGCGUGGUGUCGGCGGAGCUGCUGUCACUGCGACCGCUGUCGGUUUGCCAGACGACGUGGCGACGCUGCGCAGUGCGCUGCCACUUGUGCACGAGCUGAAGCCGCGCGACCCGCUCAAUUUUGAUGCGCUGCAGCGCCUUUUCGCCCUCAUGGAAGAAGCCGUCGGCGCUGCGGAAGCGGCUGAAGGGGUCGGAAGCGGCGGUAUCACGGCGCUGCUGCUUUCAAACGGUGUGGUGGACCCGGCACGACAGCCGUCGCCGUCGACGGAAGCGUGGGAGGCCAAGUACCGUGAAGUCUACGCUCGCUACACACUCCCGGUCGCCCAUGCAGCCGCCUCGUCUGCCGGCUCGCACAACUUUGACGAGGAGGACGACGACACGCAGCGGGAGGUGGACGCGCAGAACAACGCAGACCUGCAGGAGCUCUGUGAGAAGCUCGGCAUCACCUAUGAAACCCACGCAAAGGCGGUGCGCGACGUUGCGUUCUACGAGAUGAGUGUGUUUCCCUUGUUGUGCGCCUACCUCAGCCGCAUCAACGAGCCCACCGCCGGCGGGCGUGAUGCCGCUACAGUGGCCGCGGUGGCCUGCUCGCGGGUGAGGGUGCUGGAUUUGUCGUACAACAACAUUGGCGCGCCAGUGGUGUCGACAGCCCCGGGAGAGGACGGGGGCAGAGGCGAUGUUGCGCCAGUGCGCCAGCUAUCCCCGCUGCGAGCCCUCGCGGCCAUGCUGGACGCGAACGAGUCCUUGCGGUACCUCAACCUGCGCGCCAACGCACUGGGCCCCCGCGGCGUUGGCAUCAUCGCCAAGGCACUGACGAAGAACAUUGCCCUCUGCGGUAUUGAUCUCUCGGCAAACGCCCUGAACGUGGCAGCGGACACAGAAGAGGUUGAGGACCCGCUGUACGAGCCGGAAGACCCCGUCUUUGGGGAGUCCUACGAGGGCCUCGAGGCGCUGGCGGAGGUGCUCAAGAAGAAUAAGUUCCUGCGCGUGCUGCGGCUGGCUGAGAACGGCCUGCACGCUGGCGAGGACCUGACGGCACCCCCACCCGAGGAGGACGGUGAGGAGGCGGACGAGGAAGCUUCGGAGGAGGCGGCGGCAGCUACGGCAGGGGCACAGGCACCCCACCUCGGCCUGUCCUUUGCCGAUGCGCAGGAGCAAUGGCAGAGCAUACCGCUCUGGACACUCAUCAGUCCACUCUACCGAUAUCAGCGCCUUCGUGCACUUGACCUCUCAAAGAACUUACUGGGCAACGACGGCGUGCGCAUGCUAGCGGUGGCGUUGUCGCACAACACGUCUGUGGAAGUGCUGGAUUUGACGGACAACGCUAUCGGGUAUGCGGGUCUGGGCCACCUCGCUCGGUAUGUUCUGGGCAGGAACGUGGCGGUCGGGGCUGCCUCGGCUGCCGCGGCGCCGCAGAGUGCGCUUCACACGCUUAUCCUGCGGCAGAACCCGCUCGCGUGCGUCGGUGGCGCAGCAGACGCCGCUUCUGGUGUGGACGCGCGCCGCCGCCGUCUUACCAAGCGCCAGCAGAAGAGCGCCUUAGCGGCUGUGCGGAGGUUUGCGUCUGCGCUGGAGGGGCCACGUGGCUUGCGCCGCCUAGUCAUGGCGAACACCUACCUUGGACCGACUUUCAGCAGUAUCCUGCUGCGCUCCCUCGCCCGCGCAGAGGCGCUGGAAGAGCUGGACUUUGCGUACAACCACGCCUGCGGUGACUAUCCCUCCAACUUCGACGGCACUGCUGCCCAGGAGCUCGCCGGGCUGCUGUACCAGCUGCAGCGGCACGGCCCACCGCGGCUGCAAUGCGUGUGUUUCGACGGCAACAACUUGACCGCUGCAGGUGUGGCGGCGUUGAUCCCCCCUGAGGUGCAUGUGGCGUUUCCGCAGACCCUGCACAAGCUCACGCUGGGCCGCAACACUCUCGGGGACGAUCUCGGGUCACUCAGCCAGCUGCUAGCUGCGGGGGCCACCGCAAUCACCCACCUCGACAUCUCCUACAACAAUAUCUCAACUGUGGCGUCGCUGCUGCCUGGCCUCGCCACCGCAACGUCGCUGAGAGAGCUGAACAUGAGCCAUAACAAUCUCGGUCUUCAGGAAGGGCUUCUGCGUGGGAUAACGCCGGCGCAGCAAGAGAUGGAGGUUGCCCAGCUCUUUCAAGGCCUUGCGCAGCUGCCGAAUCUCGAGGUGCUCGACAUCAGUCACAACGACUGGCGCGCCACACACAUCGAGCAGCUCAGCGCUUUCUUCUCCAAUACGACUUUGGCCACAGCGCUACGCAAACUCGACGUGCGCAACACCCCGCACGUCCCGACAGCGCAGCUCAUGACGCUGCUGCAGUACGUGGCGAGCCGACCGACGAUGGAGGUGUUUAUGGCUACUGUUGUGCCAGACAAGACUGAGGGGGUGGACGCAGAAGCGGCAGAUGCGAACAGCACAGUUGCCCCAUGGACGUUCGACUCGGUGCUGCAGGUGAUUCACGGAGUCGUCGUCAACAGCAGCUCGCUUCUGGAGGUGGACUGCGGCCUUCUCCAGAGUGACGCGGGCGCGGCUAGCAGCAGCGAUGACGCGUCGGUGAGCUCUGCGGCGCUUGAUGAAGCCCGCGAGCGGCUCCUCCUGAAUGUCCUCAUGAAGGCGGCGACGUCGUCGACGUAGAUGGGGACGGGGCGAGCGUUGUGCCACUGGCUCGCAUUUCUCAGUCAGUCUCUGUCUCUAUCAACGUGCGCCUGCUAUUCUCUGCUCGCACGAGUUUCUUCACACCUGAGCGGCAGCAUAACCAGGAGGACUGGGGGCGGGGGGAGCGGCAGCGGCGGCGGCGUAUGCAUCCACCCAGCAUCCGCAGUUGGUCUGCUCAGCGGUGCAUCGUGUAAGUUGUGAGGAGGGUGGGGGCAAGCUUAUGUAUACAGUAUUUGAACGGUACUAGAACGCAUCCAUGCGGGCGAGUGCAGAGCGAAAAGAGGUGAAAGCGUUUGUGUGUGCCGCUCAAGUUUUUUCUUGUUGUUGAGGAGUUGCGCGCCGACCGCGCGCACCCACAUUUCCCGUCACACGCAGCGUGCCUCUGCUCGUUUUCCUCUGCGCUGCUUGCCGCCGUCCAGUCGUGUCCUCUCACAUCGGCUCUCUUUCUUGCCGCUUUUGUUUGGACGUUGCUUGCAUGUCAAACCUACGGCGGCCAAUCUACCAUACAUAUGCAUAUAUGUGCAUGUGCGUAGAUGACGGUGUGCGUGUGCGUUGGAAAGAAGUAUGCGGGUGCGUGGGUGUGGAGGACACACGAGUGGGGCUACAUGUGGCCUGCCAGUCUUUUCCUUUUGAAUGUUUCUGUUAGGAGUGUUGAUGUACAGCUGCCAUCUCCCACCAUGAACAGUGCGCUCGCGUGUCACGGGAAGCGACGCAUCUUACCUGCAUCCCCCCUGCCUCCGCUCCGCCCAGCCCGCGGCAUCGACAGCACUGUAGAUAGAGGAGGGUGGGUGGGUGGCGCAAGGCGCAAUGGAAUGAAGAAAAAGAAAAGAAGGGGCAGAGCGGAGGGUGGCUUUCGGAAGAGGAAGCCACAUGCGACUACAGAGGGAGGGGGUGGGGGGAGGGGGCGACUCCCUUCGCAGAGGGCCACAGCGGAAAAAAAAAUGAAGCUGCGAGACGGUAUGCGGGCGGUGCCUGUGCAGUGUGAGGUGGGCGUGCACGUACGCUGUUGCCAGCGCCUCUCCUCUCCUUUGUCUUCUUCCUGUGUCGCUGUGCAUACACGCCGGCACUCCGGGGCCUCCUCCCUUCUCCCCACCCUCUUCUUUCACCCCUCCCUGCUCUCCUCGCCGCCUCUCUCUCCAAUGUUUCCACGGGCCUGCUACGACUUGGGCACUCUAUUCGCUUUCCGUAUCUAUCCUCUCUCCUCGCCUUAUUCUUAUCGCGCUUCCGCUUUUUUUUCUUUGCACGGCUCCCAG
rnacentral:misc_RNA from 1 species